GACGAACGCUGGCGGCGUGCUUAACACAUGCAAGUCGAACGGACAGGCCCUGCUUUUGUGGGGUGCUCGAGUGGCGAACGGGUGCGUAACACGUGAGUAACCUUCCCUUGACUUUUGGAUAACUUCAGGAAACUGGGGCUACUACCGGAUCGGAGCUCCUGCUGCAUGGUGGGGGUUGGAAAGUUUCGGCGGUUGGGGAUGGACUCGCGGCUUAUCAGCUUGUUGGUGGGGUAGUGGCUUACCAAGGCUUUGACGGGUAGCCGGCCUGAGAGGGUGACCGGCCACAUUGGGACUGAGAUACGGCCCAGACUCCUACGGGAGGCAGCAGUGGGGAAUAUUGCACAAUGGGCGGAAGCCUGAUGCAGCAACGCUGCGUGCGGGAUGACGGCCUUCGGGUUGUAAACCGCUUUCGCCUGUGACGAAGCGUGAGUGACGGUAAUGGGUAAAGAAGCACCGGCUAACUACGUG
rnacentral:rRNA from 1 species